rfam:Cricetulus griseus cell line CHO-K1, whole genome shotgun sequence.
GGGAAAUUACUAUGGGGGCCUGCCUCAGGCCCCGACACAAAUCUAUGGGGCA